UAACGGCGAGUGAAGCGGCAACAGCUCAAAUUUGAAAUCUGGCUCUUUUAGAGUCCGAGUUGUAAUUUGCAGAGGGCGCUUUGGCUUUGGCAGCGGUCCAAGUUCCUUGGAACAGGACGUCACAGAGGGUGAGAAUCCCGUACGUGGUCGCUGGCUAUUGCCGUGUAAAGCCCCUUCGACGAGUCGAGUUGUUUGGGAAUGCAGCUCUAAAUGGGAGGUACAUUUCUUCUAAAGCUAAAUAUUGGCCAGAGACCGAUAGCGCACAAGUAGAGUGAUCGAAAGAUGAAAAGCACUUUGGAAAGAGAGUCAAACAGCACGUGAAAUUGUUGAAAGGGAAGCGCUUGCAGCCAGACUUGCUUACAGUUGCUCAUCCGGGUUUCUACCCGGUGCACUCUUCUGUAGGCAGGCCAGCAUCAGUUUGGGCGGUAGGAUAAAGGUCUCUGUCACGUACCUCCUUUCGGGGAGGCCUUAUAGGGGAGACGACAUACUACCAGCCUGGACUGAGGUCCGCGCAUCUGCUAGGAUGCUGGCGUAAUGGCUGUAAGCGGCCCGUCUUGAAACACGGACCAAGGAGUCUAACAUCUAUGCGAGUGUUUGGGUGUCAAGCCCGAGCGCGUAAUGAAAGUGAACGGAGGUGGGAACCCGCAAGGGUGCACCAUCGACCGAUCCUGAUGUCUUCGGAAGGAUUUGAGUAAGAGCAUGGCUGUUGGGACCCGAAAGAUGGUGAACUAUGCUUGAAUAGGGUGAAGCCAGAGGAAACUCUGGUGGAGGCUCGCAGCGGUUCUGACGUGCAAAUCGAUCGUCAAAUUUGGGCAUAGGGGCGAAAGACUAAUCGAACUAUCUAGUAGCUGGUUCCUGCCGAAGUUUCCCUCAGGAUAGCAGUACCGUAUUCAGUUUUAUGAAGGUAAAGCCAAAUGAUUA
rnacentral:rRNA from 1 species